rnacentral:rRNA from 1 species
UACGAAGGGGGCUAGCGUUGCUCGGAAUCACUGGGCGUAAAGCGCACGUAGGCGGAUUGCUAAGUCAGGGGUGAAAUCCUGGAGCUCAACUCCAGAACUGCCUUUGAUACUGGCGACCUUGAGUCCGGGAGAGGUGAGUGGAACUGCGAGUGUAGAGGUGAAAUUCGUAGAUAUUCGUAAGAACACCGGUGGCGAAGGCGGCUAUCUGGACCGUAACUGACGCUGAGGCGCGAAAGCGUGGGGAGCAAACAGG